rnacentral:lncRNA from 1 species
AUUUUCUGCUUUAUUUGCACAUUGAUGGCUCUGCUGCUCAGCUGGCCACGGCCGCCCGGCGUCUGAGAUAGAAUUGUGUUAAUAUGAGAAAGGGAACGGCCGAUCAUGAUUAGCAGGCAGACGGCAUGCAGAUAGCAUCUGGCGGGUUUUCUCCGUUUUUAUAUGAAAGCGUUCACUUGUUUGCUGGUAAACACGAGGUUUUAACUUUUUAUCUGGGUAGUGGUGACCGUUUGUUUCACUCUCCCCUCCUUUUUACUUCCUAUUCAUUAGCUUUUCCGUUUGGAAAGCUGCAUACUUGUUAGCGGUAGUUUGGUGUCUUGACUCUGAAGCUUUCUCUUCCAGCAGAGGUGGGAUCUGUAUCCCUCCCAUCCUAGGUUACCAAGAAGACUUUUUCUCCCCUUACUUUCUAUUGAAUUUGUGUCUUUCCCAACAUUUAAACUUACACUAGGGAUAAGUUUGCUCGGGUUGUUUUUGACGUAGGACUAUUAAAUAUUCUCAUUUUGAAACUUCCUAAAGGUUUAUUGGUUUGUCAUGUCUGCACCGAUCCAGUUUCGCAUAACUCUUAAAAUUUAAAGCUUUAAAGUACGGUUCGCAAUUGUAUUGUCAAGACAUGGCCCUAGAGCUUGUUCUUCAAGUUUUGGCUGUACAGUUGUCAUUGUUUCAGUCAAGUGCAAAAGAGGUUAUUCCUGUUUAUUUAGUGUUAAUAGCUAUUUACAGUUAAAACUUUAAAGACUCAUAGAAGUAGGUCUGCUGUAUUUUAAAGAUCUCAUCAUUCUUGUGGGAGAGACACAACACCAACACCAGGAAAGGCAACAGAUUGCUUCUGUCAUAUCGCUUUGCUGUUUUGGAGUGUACUUAAAGGAUUAUGAUUGAUAAGGCUGUCUUGCCAGAGAAUGUUGACACAGGUGUGCAUCGUUAUCUUAAUUAAGAUCCUGAGAAAAUGUUGUCUAUAAAUGGUGACAUAAGAAGGGCGGCAUAUUUUUGUACAGUUUUGCUUUUGGAGAAUUUAAUUGCACUUGAAACCUGUCUUUGAGCUUCCAGAUUUUGUGAGCACUUUAGCAACAGAAGUUUUAGAGAGAAAUGAUAGUUUAAUGUUAAGUGUUCUGGCAUGUACUAAUACUACUUGUGGCUUUUUGGCAAUGCCUGUGUCGGCUUUCUUUGUGCUCUACCUUUGUGGAAUAAUGGUUUCUAAUUUUGAAAGAAAAGCAUAAAAUAGAGCAGUAUUUUAUUAAGCAAACACUUGUUAGUGUUCAGAAUAAGUCUGUAGAGGAGGGCAUGCUUAAUGUGCAGAAACAGGAAUAUAAUAAGAGGUGUUAAGUGUGAUGCUUCCAUAAUACAUUUGGAUGCUGUCAGCUAAGUUCACUUCUGAACUAAGGGGUUCCUCCAAAUGUUGGCUGAAAUUCAUCCCAAGGCUGGUCUGCAAAGUCUGCAAUUCAUAAUGGAGCUACUGUACUGGCUAUUGGAAGGAGGAGAUUCUGAAGAUAAGGAGGUAAUAUUAUCUCUUUUAAAAGAAUACUUUCCUCUGUAAUCCUGAAUCUUUAUUACAUGUAAGAACUUUGUGCAGUAGACAGCAAUUUCUUUGAAUUUGGUAUAUGGAAACAAUUUUAUUUUCCUCUGCUAAGUUUUUGAGCCUGCCUCUUCUAGUGCCAUGGACUGCAUUGGUAGAGCUGAGAAAUAUCAUUUAGCCAUACUCAGCACCCUUAAAAUAGCUUCUUUCUGAGAAUUAGAUCUGUGAAGGUGUCCUGCACAGUUCUUGUAGAUGUCAUUUUAGUUUGUGGUUGACGUGCAUGCAUUUAGCAUGUUGCUUAACCGUCCUCAUUCGCCUCCCAGUUCUUUGUUGCCUUCAUUUGGGGGGAUGUGUUUUCUGCUGGAUGAUUUACUGCUAGACAUGACCAAACUCUGAGUAUAAGACUUGGUGUUUGGCAGCUGGUUCCAGUGCUCUGCUGAGAAGUAGUUGGGCCCAGCCUGGGGCAUUGUAGUGUCCUGGAGGCCGGGAGCUCCUGCACAGGGGUUCUUUUCCUGGUUCAGAGCCUUAGGUGCCUUUCCACUUUUCACGUAAUCUUUUCCUAGGUUGGCUUGCUGCUUACUUUGCAGCUGUUGCAGGGAUUCACAUGGAAUGGAGGGCUCCCUUUUAUUGUGGAUUAUUUCUUUGAUAAUUUACCCAUGUGCUUUUUCAUUUUCAAAAACCCAGUGGUGUUUAAGAAUGAAAGAUUCUUGAAGAACAAAAAUUGGGUUAAAUUUGUAUCUAUCAGAAAAGAUUCUAUCCUCUGAUGCUAUGUAGGCACAUUGAAUAUGCAGGCUAAAUUAAAAACAGAGUAAAACCUUUUUAUAAUAUGCCAAUUACUAUAUCUAAGAAUGUUUAUACAGGCUGAAAUUUUGUAAUGGUAUUUAUAUCUGUUUUCCUUUUUAAGGAAAAUAAUAUACUUUUCUAGGCAUCAAAAAUAUCUGCCCCUUUCACUAAUGCUGAUGUACCACCUUCCCCCAACCCCCAACGCUAAAUUUGACUGGCUUAAAAACAUCUGCCCCCUGAACUAUAUCUGGGGAGGAAUAUUAAUAAAACAAUGAAGGACUUCAUGGUGUCUAGUUAUAUAAUUAGGAAAUUGGUUAGAAACGUGGCUAAAACCAGUUUCUUUCAUUAAAAGAACUAGUGUACAUUUAAAAACAAAAACCUUCAGGAAAAAGACUCUUUGAUCUUUAAGUCAAAUAGUAUUUUUGGUUAACACAGCAGGAAGGGGAAAUAUACCAAUUUCAGAUUCUUUUAUUUAUGCCUAAGUAGAGGUUGUAAGCAGCUAAGGAAGUGAUUAAAAUGUAGUCUAGUAAAAAAUGGUGCUGAUUACUUGGAAAGCAGUUUACAUUUGCAAAAAAAUUCAGUAUUAUGACCUUCACCAACUUUUACACAUCAUAUACUUGGGUUAUUACUUAUGGUAUAGCUUGUGUAUGGAAUGCAAGGGUAUUUUCAAAUUGACUAGGUCUUGCUGGUCAUCUUAAAAUAUGUUACAAUAUUACAAAAUUGAAAUGUAAUAUUUUUUAAUAGAAGGAAAAUAUAAAUUUAAUAUCUGGGCAAUUGAGACCUUUAAACUUACUUUAAAAGUAUGAUCUUGAUGUAUAUGAUACUGUUUUGUCUUUGCUAUAUUAACAGAAUUAGAGGGGUGUUCUGCAAUUCAAAUACCUUAUAUAUUCCAAAUUUUAUUCUCUAUAAUGGACUUUUAAAAUAAAAGGUAUAUGUGCUUCAAGAGGGCAAAAUUUGAAUCAUGAGCUAAUUUGCUAAGCAUCAGAUUAUAGAAAAGCAUCCUUGAUUAAUUUGGAACUGUGAAAGGGGGCGGGUAAAACUGUUUUCUGCAGAAAUUUACUAGUGCAGCAACCAUUUAAAUUAAAUGUUUGUUAACAUAAUAGUGAUGGCAUUUUCUCCUCCCCCUCCUUGUGGUUUUGUCCAACUAGAUGUUACAGUGGCAGUUGCACUGACUGUUAAGUGUUUAAAUGAUGACACCAUUAUGUGAAGUGAUUUUGAAAUGAGAGAUUCCAGCCAAGAAUUACAUCUGCUCCCAUCUCCUUCAAAUCAUACUCUCUGGCAGUACAGAUUAUGAUUGAUUUGUUUGUGACAGAUUGCAGGAAACAGUCAUUGAUUUUUCAAUAUUUUACCUUAAAAUUAUUUACAGUUGUAACCAUGGGGAGGUAUUUUCAUGGGCUGUCAGCCCCUGAAAGACUAGGAUAAUAUUCCCUGCUCUCUGACAAGACAAAUUACCUGUAAUGAGUGCAGUAGCUGAAGGGUAUACUUUUAUUUUAAAAUAUGUCAAUAACCCCAGUGACUAAACGAAUAUUGAUUUAGCAUAAUGAAGCCUGAGUAACGUGAAAAUGAGCUUUUUCAAGGGGCAUGGUAAAGUCUUUCUUUUUAGCUGGUUGUAAGAAGCUUUUGAUUCUUUUCAGCCAGCUGGUAGGAAUAUAGAAUUUUAUAAGCAAACCAUCAGGAAUGAUAGUGUUGUUUCUGAUAAGCAACAUCCAAAUAUUUUGACCCUGCUUUUAGUGGUUUUUUUCAAAUCUUAUUUUGAGUCUUACUUUUAGUCAUAGAAUAGCUACUGAUUUGAUGCGGUCUUUAACUGACUUAAUAUUUUUACAAUUUCAAUAUAUUUUGCAUUGGAAUCUCCAGUAAUGAAUAUUAAAAUAUAUGUACAAUCAUUUGUAGAUGAUAUCAAUUAUAUUAAGACAUUUCAGAUGGGCUAUUGUAGUAUUUAAUGUGCCGUAUUUUAUGGUAGAAUAAUUCUCAGUCUCUGGACAUCAAGAUUGCUUUCAGUGGGAAUGAAGAUUAAUUUACUUCAGUCCUGAUUUUUUAGGCAUCAAUGCAUGUUUUCAUUUUUGUCAGACUUUUACCCUCUUUUAAUGUAAUUCUCAACUUCUUAUGGAUUUACUUCCCAAUACAUAAAAUCCUUCAAAACAAGAAUGAUAAUAAUUUUUAUACUUUUUAUAAAAAUAAAUUUAUUUUUAGUCCAUCAAGGUGUCUGAAGAUUUUAUGCCUAGGUAUCUCCAUAUCUAACUUGAUAAGGAAAAUAGGAUAAACAAUGCUGGUAAUAGCAGGAAAGUAAGUAUUUGAAUAAGAUGUCAAACUGAUAUUUCAUGUGAACCUAACUCAUUUUAUGGUAACUAAUAAUUAUCUUAUUUAAAUCAAUAGGUAAAACCUGUUUAGAAAUUAAAAAUGAGUUACGAUUUAAAGAAAAUUCAGAUGACUCAUUGUGAGUGCUAGUUCUCUUGUAGGAUGCCACUGGAAAUGUUGAAAUGAAAAAUGUAAGUAUAUCUUUUGGUGGAAAAAAGGAUAGUCUCUAGGACACAAAAUUACUGUUUUAUUUUUUUCUCAGGAGUUUGCCUAAGGGUGUGACAGAUGAUCUCUGUCACUUGUCUUAGUUGUGUCCUGCAAUAAACUGGAUGCUUUAUAAAAUACUAGACCUGUGAUUUCGUAUGCUGUAAUAUUUCAUUUCUCCAUCACCCCUCCAAAUUAUUUCUUAGUUUGGAGUAAAAUAAUAAAUGUAUUAUAGUCAACAUCUCUUGACCCCUCUUUAGUUUCAGCUAAACUAAGCAUGUGUGUUUGUGUGUUCAUUUUAUAGUUCAUGUGUAGAACUAUGUGAAUUAAAUUUAAGAAACAUGUAAAGUAGAGGAAAUAGUUUUCUGGAGAAAUUUUUCCUUUUUGGAUAUUAUGCCCUUUUCCAUUGCUUUUCUCUGCUUGAAAGCAAAAAAAAGUACCCUACCCCUGUUCUCCUUUAGGGAAAAACUAUUCCUAUAAAGUAUUUUUAAAUCGUGCAAGUCAUUGCCUAGGGUUAGCUAAAACAUUUCUUUUUAAAAAGGAGAAAAUGCCCUGGCUUUAACAUUUUCUUGUAUUUGUAUCUAUUAAGAUAAACAGUUUACUUUGAUACAGUACAUACCAAUCUACUUAAUUUUUUUUCCAGGAUUCCUUUUACUAUGUUUGGUCUGACCUUUUAUGAUAACUUAAUAUGGGAACAAAUUAGCAUAUAAUUCUAUUUUCCAUGUGACCUCAACCAGUUGCAGAAUUGUACCACUACUUUAGGGGGGGCAAUUUGACAGUUUAUGUAGACUAUAGCAUUAAUUGUUCCCAAAUGUUCAGUGCAUCCUGGCUAAUGUGUUAUUGAAGGUGUUUUCACGUAAGCAGUUAGAGGAAGCACUUCACCCCUAUUACUAAGUUAUUAAAAUGCCUCCUAAAGGUAGCAUUUUAAAUUAGUAUACAUAAUUGAUUAGUAAUUUGUCUUCUCCCAAGCAUAAAACAGCAUAGCAGAGUUAAGUGUGACCAGUGAAGUAUAAGAUAUUAGGGAUUGAUGGUGACAAUGAUCAUAGCAACUAAAUGGAUUUUUUUUUUCUUUUAGAUUCAGCCGUUGGUCUUUGAAAUUUCCUGUGAUGUGUUUCAAUCUAGAUGCAAAGAACAUGGAAAAAUCAAAGUGCUCGAGUGGUUUAAAUAUGUUUUGGGUAUUCCUGUUUAUAGACUAUAAUACUUUUCCAAUUAAAAUCCUCAGUUGUCACGCAGAAGAAGGUUAAGCUGUAUUUGAUUGCCAGUUUUACUGAAAAUGCUUAGUAUUUUACAGUAUCACCAAAUAUAUUUUGUUUAGCCAAGGUAUAGGAAAAAUAAAAUAAAUU